AAGUCGUAACAAGGUCUCCGUAGGUGAACCUGCGGAGGGAUCAUUAACACUAUUUGGCUGUAGGUUUAACCGCCUACAGUUCAAAUUCUAACCACACUGUUGAACUCGGUUACCUUGCGUAACCAAUCCUCCCUUUGAAUUGGAAGCGUUAAUGUUAGUUUGUAGUGGGAUGAGCAAUCAUCGACUAACAUUAGCUAUCAAAGCUUGACUUUGAAGUUUCCUUUUCUUAGGCAAUUCCACUUAAAAUUUCCUCCACUAUAGAAAUGAACCCAUUUCACACCUUCGUACUCCAAUUGACUGAUCAAAGAAUGCUAAAGAGACCCGCAAGGGAAUCGAUAGCAGGACUAAGAUAAUUCUUAAACUAAGCACAACUCUUAGCAACGGAUAUCUUGGUUCUG
rnacentral:misc_RNA from 1 species